rnacentral:snRNA from 1 species
AGCCAUGCAGUGAGAGCAUAGCGAACUAUUCUUUCGCCUUUUACUAAAGAAUACCGUGUUCUCUCUGCUUAUAAACGACAUACGCCUAUUUUUGGGAAGGUUAAUUACUAAAUAAU